AGGUGGGCAACUGCAAAAGCAGCAAAAUGCUGCCAAUUUUUCUGCAGAAAACCGACCUUAAAAACUGACCUUAUGAGAUGUUGAAAUACAAAUAGGGGCAACGACAUAUUGAUAAUGGCUUUCACUAUUUAGAGGGAGACAGACGGAAGAACAACAGAAAAAGAAGAGAAAAAAGAAGAAGUGCUGUGAUAUUAAUUAGAAGAAGGAUGACAAUACGUGUUAUUAAAUUGUAAAGCCGACUAAUAUAUUUAAAGGUUGUUAACAAUGAAUAACGGAAGUAUCCAAGCCAACCGAUGAUUGCUAACUAUUAUUUGGCAAGAAAAGGUUAUUAGAGUUUUAUUUCAACAAUUCCUAUUGAUUGAACGAAGAGGUAUAUAUCCAAUUUCCUAUACUUUGAGAUAUAAAUCGUAUUUGGUGUAGACGUCCAGUUUCAUAUUCCAUGCUUUAAAUAUUAUGAAUCUGUUGAAAAGAAUCUCCAUAACUUGAUUACGAAGAAGUUGUUUCCAUGGCAUUUUGUAUAAUUGGAAAAAUCGAUGGAAAGGAGGUAUCAUUAGUAUUUUUCAAAGCUUUAAUUGGUGUAUAUAUUCAUAAUAUAUCGAGAUUAGCAUUGUAGCUAAGAAAGCACAUUAUUUUUACAGGUUAUUUUAUCCGAUCUGAUGAUCAAUUGUUCUUUAUCCGAUAUGUUGAGAUGAGACUAGAAUUGCAGCUCUAUGUUUCUUUAUCCGAUCCAUAGUUAGAGACUGUAAUUUCAUGCUGAUAUUAUUUACGCUUAUAUGUUGUUCACUUAUUGGAGACAAAAGAAAAAAGUAGUAGAGAAAGGUCCGUCUCUCCAAGUGUGCACACAAAUCAGGUAAUUACUACUACUAUUACAUAAUUAUUAAGAUUUGUUUGGAUAAAUAUCAUAAAAUAGAACAAGUUUUUAAUGUGAUUAUCAGGUCUAACCCAAGUGAAGCUUAUGUCAUAUGUGUCAGUAGCAAAAUUGCAUAAAAUUGAGCGUGCUAGCUGUAGAAUUUUUGACUAUAUUUAGCAUAAACUCGAUAUAAUCAAAACUAUAACAUAUUUUUUUUGUUACAAACAUUCAUAUGUCUUUCAUUAAUUAAUACACUAUUUCAAGUAAUUGUUGUUAUGCAGGUUUUAGUCUUACUUUAUAGCUUAAUAAGUCCUUUAAAUGAAUGAUGCA